rnacentral:tRNA from 1 species
GAAUAAGUUAUAGGGGCUAUAAGGCUGGCUUGAAACCAGUUUUAGGGGGUUCGACUCCCUCCUUUUUC